GAGGGCCGACAUGGCGGCGGCGGCGGCGGCUUCGCUUCGCCGAUCGGUGCUAGGCCCGCGGGGCAUGGGGCUUCCAGGUGCAAGUGCUCCGGGCCUGCUGGGCGGCGCGCGGCCCCGGCAUCUUCCAUUACGGACACCGCAGGUGGUCUGGUGGGGUCUUGGCAGGUGCUGAGCGGGGCUCUUGCAGGCAGUGUCCUUGUCCUCGAAGUCUGGCCCUUCUCGAGGCCGAAAGGUGAUGCUGUCAGCGUUGGGCAUGCUGGCAGCAGGGGGUGCAGGGCUAGCUGUGGCCCUUCAUUCGGCGGUGAGUGCCAGUGACCUGGAGCUGCACCCCCCCAGCUACCCAUGGUCUCACCGUGGCCUCCUCUCCUCCUUGGACCACACCAGCAUUCGUAGGGGUUUCCAGGUAUACAAGCAGGUGUGCUCUUCCUGCCACAGCAUGGAUUAUGUGGCUUACCGCCACCUGGUGGGAGUGUGCUACACGGAGGAAGAAGCUAAGGCGCUGGCUGAGGAGGUGGAGGUCCAGGAUGGCCCUAAUGAGGAUGGGAAUAUGUUCAUG
rnacentral:lncRNA from 1 species